rnacentral:tRNA from 1 species
GGGUCUGUAGCUCAGUUGGAAAUGAGAGCAUCUGCCUUCUAAGCAGAAGCGCGCAGGUUCGAGUCCUGCCAGACCCG